UACGUAGGGGGCAAGCGUUGUCCGGAUUUAUUGGGCGUAAAGAGCUCGUAGGUGGUUUGGUAAGUCGGAUGUGAAAUCUCCAGGCUCAACCUGGAGGGGUCAUUCGAUACUGCCAUGACUAGAGGUCGGUAGGGGAGUGUGGAAUUCCUGGUGGAGCGGUGAAAUGCGCAGAUAUCAGGAGGAACACCGGUGGCGAAGGCGGUUCUCUGGGCCUGUACUGACGCUGAGGAGCGAAAGCGUGGGGAGCGAACAGG
rnacentral:rRNA from 1 species